rnacentral:tRNA from 1 species
AGGGGCUUAGGAUAGCACCCCAAUCCAUGAGCCUUCAAAGCUCCAAACGGGAGUGAGAACCUCCCAGCCCCUG